GACGAACGCUGGCGGCGUGCUUAACACAUGCAAGUCGAACGGAAAGGCCCUGCUUUUGUGGGGUGCUCGAGUGGCGAACGGGUGAGUAACACGUGAGUAACCUGCCCUUGACUUUGGGAUAACUUCAGGAAACUGGGUCUAAUACCGGAUAGGAGCUCCUGCUGCAUGGUGGGGGUUGGAAAGUUUAGGCGGUUGGGGGUGGAAUCGCGGCUUAUCAGCUUGUUGGUGGGGUAGUGGCUUACCAAGGCUUUGACGGGUGGCCGGCCUGAGAGGGUGACCGGCCACACUGGGACUGAAAUGCGGCCCAGCCUCCUACGGGAGGCAGCGGUGGGGAAUAUAGCACAAUGGGAGGAAGCCUGAUGCAGCAACGCCACGUGCGGGAUGACGGCCUUCCGGUUGUAAACCGCUUUCGCCUGUGACGAAGCGUGAGUGACGGUAAUGGGUAAAGAAGCACCGGCUAACUACGUG
rnacentral:rRNA from 1 species